rnacentral:rRNA from 1 species
UACGGAGGGUGCGAGCGUUGUCCGGAAUCAUUGGGCGUAAAGGGCUCGUAGGCGGCCAACUAAGUCAGACGUGAAAUCCCUCGGCUUAACCGGGGAACUGCGUCUGAUACUGGAUGGCUCGAGUUUGGGAGAGGGAUGCGGGAUUCCAGGUGUAGCGGUGAAAUUCGUAGAUAUCGGGAGGAACACCGGUGGCGAAGGCGGCGACCUGGGUGGAUACUGACGCUGAGGUGCGAAAGCGUGGGGAGCAAACAGG